rnacentral:misc_RNA from 1 species
GUGAAUCAUCGAAUUUUUGAACGCAAAUUGCACUUUCUGGUAUUCCGGAAAGUAUGCCUGUUUGAGGGUCAGUUAAAUAAAAAUCGGUGUUAUUGCUAUUAAUGGUGAUGUAUCGGAAUUGAGUCGUUUUUACCUUUGGUUUUAAGUUACUUAAAAUUAUGUACGUUUUCUGAACGUAUUUAUUUUAUUUACUUACGUUCAUAAUAUCACAUAUUAGGUGCGGACAUUAUCAUGAUAUCUCGCUUAUAAUUUUUAAUUAUUUGC